rnacentral:lncRNA from 1 species
GCUUAUUUGCUAAAUAGCCAAAAAAGUGAAAUUAGAUUUUUAGAGAGAGAGUAGAGAGACAUAGGAAAAGAAAGUAUGAGAGAGGGGGUGUUUUUAGUUAGUUAGUGAAUUUUGUUUUUUUUUUUGUGUCUAUUGGGUGCAAUUUCCCAUUAGGUAGCUUUAACUAUCUCAAUAGUUAGUUAAAAAAAAAAAAAAGACAAUGCAAUAUAUUUUUGGUAAGCAUAAGUUGUUUUUAGGCCAAAACGUCUAACUAACGUAAAAUUCUGUAGUCAUCACUUGAAUUUCUAUUCCAUGUUGACCUUAUAAACCAAUUUGAUAUAUCUAAAAAGCUUAGUUUCAAUAAUCUUUUGAAUAAUACAUAGUAAUGUGUGUGUGUGGGUAAGAGUGUGCAUGGUGUAUUACGUUAUAUAUGAUGUAUAAACAAAAUCUAAGCAUAUAUAUACCAAUGUAAUGUCAGCAACAUGCAUGCGUUA